rnacentral:rRNA from 1 species
CGCGAAUGGCUCAUUACAACAGCUAUAAUUUACUUGAUCUUGACACAAUCCUACUUGGAUAACUGUGGUAAUUCUAGAGCUAAUACAUGCAUUAAAGCUCUGACCUCACGGGAAGAGUGCAUUUAUUAGAACAAAACCAAGCGGCUUCGGCUGUUUCUGGUUGACUCAUAGUAACUGAGCUGAUCGCAUGGUCUUGCACCGGCGACGUGUCUUUCAAGUAUCUGCCGUAUCAACUUUCGAUGGUAGUGUAUCUGACUACCAUGGUGAUCACGCGUAACGGAGAAUAAGGGUUCGGCUCCGGAGAGUUCGCCUGAGAAAUCGCGAACACAUCUAAGGAAGGCAGCAGGCGCGAAAAUUACCCACUCUCAGCACGAGGAGGUAGUGACGAAAAAUAACGAGACCGUUCUCUUAUGAGGCCGGUCAUCGGAAUGGGUACAAUUUAAACCCUUUAACGAGUGUCUAUGAGAGGGCAAGUCUGGUGCCAGCAGCCGCGGUAAUUCCAGCU